UACGUAGGGUGCAAGCGUUGUCCGGAAUUAUUGGGCGUAAAGAGCUCGUAGGCGGUCUGUCGCGUCUGCUGUGAAAACUCAGGGCUUAACCCUGAGCUUGCAGUGGGUACGGGCAGACUAGAGUGCGGUAGGGGAGACUGGAAUUCCUGGUGUAGCGGUGAAAUGCGCAGAUAUCAGGAGGAACACCGGUGGCGAAGGCGGGUCUCUGGGCCGUAACUGACGCUGGAGGAGCGAAAGCGUGGGGAGCAAACAGG
rnacentral:rRNA from 1 species